GAUGAACGCUGGCGGCGUGCCUAAUACAUGCAAGUCGAGCGAACAGACGAGGAGCUUGCUCCUCUGACGUUAGCGGCGGACGGGUGAGUAACACGUGGAUAACCUACCUAUAAGACUGGGAUAACUUCGGGAAACCGGAGCUAAUACCGGAUAAUAUAUUGAACCGCAUGGUUCAAUAGUGAAAGACGGUUUUGCUGUCACUUAUAGAUGGAUCCGCGCCGCAUUAGCUAGUUGGUAAGGUAACGGCUUACCAAGGCAACGAUGCGUAGCCGACCUGAGAGGGUGAUCGGCCACACUGGAACUGAGACACGGUCCAGACUCCUACGGGAGGCAGCAGUAGGGAAUCUUCCGCAAUGGGCGAAAGCCUGACGGAGCAACGCCGCGUGAGUGAUGAAGGUCCUCGGAUCGUAAAACUCUGUUAUUAGGGAAGAACAAAUGUGUAAGUAACUAUGCACGUCUUGACGAUACCUAAUCAGAAAGCCACGGCUAACUACGUG
rnacentral:rRNA from 1 species